AUUGAACGCUGGCGGCAGGCCUAACACAUGCAAGUCGAGCGAGCGGCGGACGGGUGAGUAAUGUCUGGGAAACUGCCUGAUGGAGGGGGAUAACUACUGGAAACGGUAGCUAAUACCGCAUACCAUCAGAUGUGUCCAGAUUGGAUUAGCUAGUAGAUGGGGUAACGGGUCACCUAGGCGACGAUCCCUAGCUGGUCUGAGAGGAUGACCAGCCACACGGGAAGUGAGACACGGUCCAGACUCCUACGGGAGGCAGAAGUUGGGAAUAUUGCACAAUGGGCGCAAGCCUGAUGGAGCCAUGCCGCGUGUGUAAAGAAGGCCUUCGGGUUGUAAAGCACUGUCAGCGGAGAGGCGUUACCCGCAGAAGAAGCACCGGCUAACUCCGUGCCAGCAGCCGCGGUAAUUC
rnacentral:rRNA from 1 species